UAGGACAGUUUCCCACAGGCUGAGUUCCCACAUCAUGCCAGCCGCGGUUCCCAGUGAAUGGGGCUGGGAGUCGCUCACCAGGAAGAGGAAAUCACCCCGGGGUUUCCACAGGAAGGGGUCCGGACUCAGAGGCACCAAUGUGUCGGCAUCGAAGGUAGCCUGUAAGUGGUCCUUGUAUGGCACGCACUGUGUCAGAGUGCAUGGGUCUCCGAAGAGCUUGGGAGUGGGGGGCCUGUGCCCCGGUCCCAGCAUUACCCCCUGACCUGCUGCGUGAACUCAGGCCACAGAGCGUGCAGCUGUGGAACUUGCCAGGGCACGGGCUGCCAGGGAUCGUCGCCCUCGUUGCUUCAUCUACCGUGCCGUGCCUUCUUCUCAAGCUCUGUCGGAAGCUCCCCUCUUCAGUCACGGCGGGCUGGAGGGCCUGGAAGUGUGGUGUGACGCUCAGCAGAUUCUCAUGGAAUAUUUGUCAAGGCCCUGGGAAGGCUCUGACCUCGCACAGGGCAGGACCUCCCUCCCAGAACAGGCAGCAUCAGUCACAGGCAGUGGACGGAUGGAUGGGUAGAGGAUGGGUGCACGGAUGCCUGGGCCUUGAGAACCGGGACCAAGAGCUGAGCUUCUCCCAGGAGCACGGUGACCAAAGCCAGCAUUGGCUGAGCCUGUAUUAUGGGCUGGGCGACUCACCUAAUGUGCUCUCUGCAUCACUCGAUCUGACGGAGAGAAAAGGUAUCAUUAUCUGAGUGAGUUGCCACUUGACUGAACUGGAAACAGGCUGAGACUUGCCCAAGAACACACAGCUUUGUGAAUGGGAAGCCGGAAUGUCCACGCUCCCAACCCCAAAGCUAUGCUGACUCUAAGGAGGGCGGGAGGGAGUUGCCUGGGCUGAGAAGGACAGGUGCACACUCUGCCAGGACCUACUGGGACCUCUGGCCCCGGGGCCUAUCUUCCCAGCCAGGACCAAGAAUGCUUCUGGCAUAGAAGGAGAAUGGAGGAAGCUGGUUGCCUAGGGCUGGAGGGAUGCGGAGGAGGGUCAGUGUUUUGUGGGCACUGAAUUUCAAUGUUGCAAGAUGAAAAAGUCCUAGAGAUCUGUUGCGCAAUAAAAUAAUGUGAAUAUACGAACACUACUGACCUGCACACUUAAAAUGCUUAAUAGGGGGGCACCUGGGUGGCUCAGUCGUUGGGCGUCUGCCUUCGGCUCAGGUCAUGGUCCCGGGGUCCUGGGAUCGAGCCCCGCAUCGGGCUCCCCGCUCGGCGGGAAGCCUGCCUCUCCCCCCCCACUCCCCCUGCCUGUGCUCCUCUCUCAAUGUGUCUCUCUCUGUCAAAUAAAUAAAUAAAAUCUUAAAAAAAAAAAAAAGAUUAAAAAAAAAUGCUUAAUAGGCUCAAUUUUAUGUUAUGUGUUUUUUGUACAACAAUAAAAAAACAA